rnacentral:lncRNA from 1 species
CAGUGUAAUAAUAUUUGCCUUCAUGUAAAUGUGAUGAAGAAGCAUUUUUAAAUAAAAGACAUCUGACCUCCAUUUUUGGUACAUUAAGGCACUUUAUAAAUGGAGUUUUACUGUCUUAUUUUUCAUAGCAAAUUAUGAGGUUUAGAAUAUUAUUUCCAUAGUAUUCUGUAUGAAAGAUAUAAUUAAUUUUUUACUCUUUUUUACUUUUCUACUCUUGUGUAACCAGUUCCUGUACUUUAAAUUUUCAGCCACUGGAGGGAUCUUGAAUUCUUAACAUUAUUCUCAGAGCCACACAAAAUUGGGCAUUAAAUGUUGUAUAGAACAAAACAAAAAUUUUAACAGGGUAGAAUUUUGAAGUCUUACAGAGAAUCCCAAAUGCUAAAUUGCAACGUUCAACUCUUCAU